UACGUAGGGUGCAAGCGUUGUCCGGAAUUAUUGGGCGUAAAGAGCGCGUAGGCGGCUAGGUAAGUCCGACGUGAAAUCUGGAGGCUCAACCUCCAGCGGUCGUUGGAAACUACUUGGCUAGAGUCCGGAAGAGGAGAGUGGAAUUCCUGGUGUAGCGGUGAAAUGCGCAGAUAUCAGGAAGAACACCGAUGGCGAAAGCAGCUCUCUGGGACGGUACUGACGCUGAGGCGCGAAAGCGUGGGGAGCGAACAGG
rnacentral:rRNA from 1 species